rnacentral:SRP_RNA from 2 species
CCAUGCUAAGCGGGGAGUUAGCGGUUCCCUCAACCCGAAAUCCGCUUUAUGCGGGGCUGAAAGCCGUUCCGAGGCUGGCAGGGGUAAGAAAUGGGACUUUCUUCGAGAACGUUGAAGACAAGGUCCUGUGCGACGGAAUCCCACGAACCUGGUCAGGUCCGAGAGGAAGCAGCCAUAAGUGGAGCUUUCCGUGCGACACGGGAGUGCUUUGUCGGAGUUCUUCGAAAAAGUAACCGCUUGUUCCUGCCCAGUCAAAGACGGAUGCAUGG